GCCGCGCCCGCGCCAGCUGCCGCUUCCGGCGGUAGCCUGCAACUCCCUCGUCGCCCAACCACACGUGCCCGACUCGCGGCCAGUAGAUCUGGCGGCCGCCGCGGAGCUAGUCGAGUAGUCCGUGGGCAGAACAGAAUGCGCGCCAUUCCUGGCCGUGGGAAGGUCGCCGCGGUUAAGGACAACUCCGGAAGUUUGAGGGCCUGAAAGUGGCCAGCAGCCCUUCCUCUUCGGCCGCUGGCGCUCCGCGCUCUCCCCUGGGCACGGAUGCAUGCUCCAGUACGCGCAGCUCCGUCUCGCCUGAUACAGCUGCGUCACGGGCCGCGCUGUUGAAUUACCGAGUCCACGCAACAAUUUCUACCGGGUGAGCAUGCUGGGAACACGCUGGACGGUGAGGCAUUGGUGAGUCACCAAUACCAUAGAUGAGGGUGCAUCUCUUGAAGCCGAAUGUAAUGACAAAUCGCAGAGUAUACUCUAUGCAAAGGAUUGCCACCAGGAGGCUGCUUGGAGCCUGUGACAAUGGCAUAAUUUCAGGGAGCAUCCUUCUGGGUGGGAGAAUGCCCUUCGAGUUAGUGUUCUGGACCCCACGUCUUGCCCAUUCAAUAUUUCAUCAGAUGUCAUAACAGAUGUUGGAUUUUCAUUGUUCAGUUCUGUUUGUUUGCUUUUGCUGAUAGCCCUUCUGAUGCUUCAGGGAACUGUUCUGAAUAGUAGGCGAAUGUUCUUGCUAAAUUUACCAGGAUUUCUUGGAUAGCGCUGAUCUUGCAGCAUCAAAUAUGCUAUCUGCGUACCCUUGGGCUUUUGAAGCACCUACGCUAGCUGUAAAUAAUGCUCUUUCUGAAUGAUAAGUCGUUUGCUUGCCAGCUUAAUAAUGCGUAGAGUUUUCUCAAUCCUAUUGCUGCUU